UACGUAGGGAGCAAGCGUUGUCCGGAAUCAUUGGGCGUAAAGCGCGCGUAGGUGGCCUCAUAAGUCCGCUGUGAAAGUCAAAGGCUCAACCUUUGAAAGCCGGUGGAUACUGUGAGGCUAGAGUACGGAAGAGGCGAGUGGAAUUCCUGGUGUAGCGGUGGAAUGCGUAGAGAUGUGGAGGAACACCAGUGGCGAAGGCGACUCUUUGGCCUAUAACUGACGCUGAGGCGCGAAGGCGUGGGGAGCAAACAGG
rnacentral:rRNA from 1 species